CUACCUUAAUCUCGCACUGAAAAUAAAAAAGGAAGAGUAUGUAAGGUGUCUUAGAGCAGCAGCACCCACCCUGAGCUCCUGGGAAAUCCAGAGGUUCCUCUGGAGGCAAAGGAGGUGGACACGCUGUGCUCAUGCCAGUCUCCCCCUGGAAGAGGUGCUGAUGCCACCACUCCUGUAGGCUGCCAGGAAGACUCUGAGCCUUGUUCAUUCAGUGCAGCUCAGGUGAAGUCUGAUAGCAACAGCCUUGUCUUGGAGGUUGUGCCAGGCAGGUUCCCAGGCUGCAGCUCAAGCUGUCAGUCAGCUGCCUGGUUCCUGAAUCUGUGCACAGUCCAAGAUGAAAGCUACUGCUGCUGCAAAAGGAACAACAGCACCUGAGCAGGUCUGGCCUGGAGUUCUUCACCACAGGACCUUUAAGAACCUGAAAGACAGUUUGGUAUGGUUAAUUCAAGCUGAAAAGUUUCCCCUCAAAGUUAAGGAUCCAAAAUAUGAAGUUCAAAUUCACCUUUUCAACACUCCCAGGUUCUUUGAAGAGAAUAAAUCCAAAGCCUCUGGAUCUUCCUGUGUUAGGGUCCAUCUUUAUCGUGCAGUCGGUUACCUCACCAAAUUUGGUGAAGUAAUCUUUCAAGUCUUUUUUGCUCGUAUCCCAACUGAGGCCACCAACAAACA